rnacentral:rRNA from 2 species
UCCUUUGUUGCCAGCGAUUAGGUCGGGAACUCAAAGGAGACUGCCAGUGAUAAACUGGAGGAAGGUGGGGAUGACGUCAAGUCAUCAUGGCCCUUACGACCAGGGCUACACACGUGCUACAAUGGCGCAUACAAAGAGAAGCGACCUCGCGAGAGCAAGCGGACCUCAUAAAGUGCGUCGUAGUCCGGAUUGGAGUCUGCAACUCGACUCCAUGAAGUCGGAAUCGCUAGUAAUCGUGGAUCAGAAUGCCACGGUGAAUACGUUCCCGGGCCUUGUACACACCGCCCGUCACACCAUGGGAGUGGGUUGCAAAAGAAGUAGGUAGCUUAACCUUCGGGAGGGCGCUUACCACUUUGUGAUUCAUGACUGGGGUGAAGUCGUAACAAGGUAACCGUAGGGGAACCUGC